rnacentral:rRNA from 1 species
AACUGCUGUUACACUUUACCAACGCUCGGAAGUUAAUAGCUCUCCGAGACGAGCAAGGUGGGAGAAAGCACAGGCUAACUCCGUGCCAGCAGCCGCGGUAAUACGGAGUGUGCAAGCGUUACUCGGAAUCACUGGGCAUAAAGCGCGCGUAGGCCGGACCUCAAGUCGGUUGUGAAAUCCCUCAGCUCAACUGAGGAGCUGCAGCCGAUACUGCGGUCCUUGAGGACAAAAGGGGAGAGCGGAACUUCUGGUGAAGCGGUGAAAUGCGUAGAUAUCAGAAGGAACGCCGGUGGCGAAAGCGGCUCUCUGGUUUGUUUCUGACGCUGAGGCGCGAAAGCUUGGGUAGCAAACGGGAUUAGAUACCCCGGUAGUCCAAGCCGUAAACGAUGAGUACUAGGUAGAGGAGGCCUCGUCGCCUUCUCUGCUGGAGCAAAUGUAUUAAGUACUCCGCCUGGGGAGUACAGUCGCAAGG